UCGAGAAUAAUUCGCAAUGGACGAAAGUCUGACGAUGCGACGCCGCAUGAACGAUGAAGGCCUUCGGGUUGUAACGUUCUGUUGCCCUAGAACAAGAGUGACUGACGAAUAGGUGGUCACGAUGAGGGUAUAGGGAGAGGAAGCACCGGCUAAUUCCGUGCCAGCAGCUGCGGUAAUACGGAAGGUGCAAGCGUUAGUCGGAAUUACUGGGUGUAAAGGGUAUGUAGGCGGCCCUUCAAGUCGCGUGUCAAAGUCCAGUGCUCAACGCUGGGUGUGCGCGCGAUACUGACGGGCUUGAGGGCUGGAGAGGUGAGCGGAAUUCCCGGUGUAGUGGUAAAAUACGUAGAGAUCGGGAGGAACACCAGCGGCGCAGGCGGCUCACUAGACAGUUUCUGACGCUAAGAUACGAAAGCGUGGGGAGCAAACA
rnacentral:rRNA from 1 species